rnacentral:rRNA from 1 species
UACAGAGGGGGCAAGCGUUGUUCGGAAUUACUGGGCGUAAAGGGCGCGUAGGCGGCCUGUUAAGUCGAACGUGAAAUCCCCGGGCUCAACCCGGGAACUGCGUCCGAUACUGGCAGGCUUGAAUCCGGGAGAGGGAUGCGGAAUUCCAGGUGUAGCGGUGAAAUGCGUAGAUAUCUGGAGGAAUACCGGUGGCGAAGGCGGCAUCCUGGACCGGCAUUGACGCUGAGGAGCGAAAGCCAGGGGAGCAAACGGG